AUUAGUUCUUUAAUUGAGAACUGGAAUGAAAGGCUGAACAAGAAGCUAGCUGUCUCUGUAUAAAACCUUGAAUUUAACUUUUAAGUGAAAAGGCUUAAAUAAGCUAGGGGGACGAUAAGACCCUAUGAAUCUUUAUGUCUGAGCUUGUGGGGCAAAAGAGUGUUAAAGUUCUGCCAAACAUUGUCGGGUAUUUUGUUGGGGCGACAGGAGCAUAAAAGUUAACUGCUCUAAAUUUAUAGUUAGUGAUAUUUAGUUAAGUGAUCCUCUAAUAGGGAUAUUAGUCUAAGUUACUCUAGGGAUAACAGCGUAAUUUUUUUUGAGAGUUCAUAUCGAGAAAAAAGUUUGCGACCUCGAUGUUGAAUUAAAGAUCCUUUGCGGCGGAGAAGCCGUGAAAGGAGGUCUGUUCGACCUUUAAACCUUUA
rnacentral:rRNA from 1 species